ensembl:lncRNA
GUAUUUGGAGAUUCUCCCAGACCUAUCCCCACGCGCCCUUGACCUCUCGGACACCCGGUGCAGCCACCCACGCCGGGAUAGGGACUCUAGGCUCCCGGAGCGGUGGGGGCGGGCGGCGCUGCGGACCCGGCGGGCACCGCGGGGCUGCCUCUGCUCGCCGGCAGCCGGGGCCUCCUCCGUGCGCCUCUCCACGCCUGGUUUAUUAUGCACGAGGCAGGCAAUUUGCCUUCCGCCCCGGGGACCCAUCUCGGAGACAAGAAGCCCGAGUGCUUCGCCUGGAGAGAAGGGGAAGAGCCAUUUGGCUGCUAAGAAGUCAUGGAUGCUGAGAGAGAAGGAAAACCAAUUCUUAGCCGUUUCUGAUAAGAGGAGUUGGAGAUGAGAGAAUGGCCUGAAAGUUGCCUAUAAUUUCUAGAAUAGACUGUAAGGCAACCGCGAUGCAAUGACUGAGUCUCUUCUCUGUGACCAGUGAUGGUGGCCAGUGUGCAGUCAGUGGAUCUGGGGCCCAUGCUGAGCUCUUUACACACGUUGUUUCAUGGAGCACCACCAGGAAACCCUGUGGGAUGGGUGUUUUUUGUUCCCCCUGCGGAGAUGAGGACUCGGAGACUCAGAGAAGGAGCUUGGUGCUAUGAGCCUGGUUGGACACAGACAUCCUUGAGGACUCAGAGGAGCAUUUGGGGUCAGGGGGCCUGAUCCUUUCUGUGUGCAGGACUCCACUGGCAGUCUGGUGAAGCCGAUGUUCCCAAAUGCAUACACUGAAACACCUAAGAUUAUGAAGGAAGCCAAUUGUACUGAAAUACUGUUAUCGAAAGAGUUAAAAAAAAAAACCCACACCAAAUUUCUGACAGAGUAAUCUACCACUUUCUUUAACAAGGCAUUCAAUAACCAGAUCUAGCAGCAGAUCUAAUAACUACCAUAAUUUCCAAGUUGUGAUGAGUGCAAAUAAUAUUUCAAGAGACCUGCAGCAACUGAGAGAAUGUGAAGGCAUCUUGAUUUCAGUUAUGACAGAAGCACAGGCACUGCUAAUCCUACUGGGGCUCGUAGUGGAGAAAUACUAAAUUCACUUAGAGGUUAGUGAGAUGUAUCACCCUCUCCAGUUUGUUCCCAGAACCCAUCGCCCCCUAAAAUCUAUCCAUGGAUCCAGGUUAAGAGUAGAAGUGACUGGCUGAAAUACAUGUUAGUGUGAAUUACAAAGUACAAUUUAAGGGUAGACAAUUGGGGAGACAGGCCUUCCCUGGUGGCUCAGAUGGUAAAGAAUCUGCCUGCAAUGUGGGAGACCUGGGUUCAAUCCUUGGGUUGGGAAGAUCCCCUGGAGAAGGGAAUGGCUACCCACUCCAGUAUUCUGGCCUGGACAAUUCCAUGGACAGAGGAACUUGGCAGGUUACAGUCCUUGAGGUCUCAAAGAGCUGGGCACGACUGAACAACUUUCACUUUACAAUGGGGGAGAUCAAAUGAAGCCUUCCUUCAGACAGAGAGGUCUGGCAGCACUUGGGCCUUCCUUUGCCUUAUGUUUAUACACGGAAUAAAGGUAUACUUGGGAAUAUAUAAGGUGUAUCUAUGAAUGAAGCAACCAAGGAGUAGGGUGGUUCAGGGAUCUGCUUGAGUGCCCUGAGGAAUAAAUAGAAGUUAGCUUAAAGUCUUCAGUGUCCCAGAUUCUGGUCCUAGGUGGUCUCCACCUCACUGUGGCCCCUUUCCCCUCUGCCUUCUGUUGGGCUCUGCUGCCACCUCGCCUCCACACUGCCCUGUGCCCUCAGCUGCCACAUGGCUUGUGUGGCUCCACAUGGCUCAGUGCUGCACAGCCGUGGGCUGUGAGGAAACUGCCCUGGAGAGUUUGGGCUGGGUGCUAGGAGGGAGUCGGGCUCAGAACAGUGGUGGCAGGUCCUUAAAACUGAAGAGUAAGGCCAUUUUACAUUUUAAGAAAAAGCCACCUGUAUUUACUGGAGGUUGAGGAAGUGGGAGCCAGGAG